rnacentral:rRNA from 1 species
GUACACUCCUGCGGGAGGCAGCAGUGGGGAAUUUUGGACAAUGGGCGAAAGCCUGAUCCAGCCAUGCCGCGUGCAGGAUGAAGGCCUUCGGGUUGUAAACUGCUUUUGUACGGAACGAAACGGCCUUUUCUAAUAAAGAGGGCUAAUGACGGUACCGUAAGAAUAAGCACCGGCUAACUACGUGCCAGCAGCCGCGGUAAUACGUAGGGUGCAAGCGUUAAUCGGAAUUACUGGGCGUAAAGCGUGCGCAGGCGGUUAUGUAAGACAGUUGUGAAAUCCCCGGGCUCAACCUGGGAACUGCAUCUGUGACUGCAUAGCUAGAGUACGGUAGAGGGGGAUGGAAUUCCGCGUGUAGCAGUGAAAUGCGUAGAUAUGCGGAGGAACACCGAUGGCGAAGGCAAUCCCCUGGACCUGUACUGACGCUCAUGCACGAAAGCGUGGGGAGCAAACAGGAUUAGAUACCCCUGUAGUCCCAUGA